GUGUGUCCUGGCCGUUUGAGGCUCUGGCCGAUUUCUUUUCCCAAGUCCCCAUGGAGAAUCAGGGACCGUCCUGUGCCAUCUUCCGAGAGCCUGGAAGGGUCCGCCCGUGGGCUUUCCGAGCGCCGAAGGGGCCACAUGCUGCUCUGAGGGUGCCGCAGAGAUGCUGUCUCACCAUGUUGGCCCCGGAUAGUCUUGGACUCCUGGGUUCCAGGUAUCCUCCGUGGCCUCCAAAAGUGCUGGGAUUACAGGUCCUGCCUACAGAAGAUCUUGUGACAUAUCCCUGCACCCAUCACACAGGAUAUUGUGACAUUGCUGAGCCCAGCAUCUAGGUGAUGUGACUCUUCUCUACUGUUUGGUCUCUACCCAAAAAGGGAUUGUGACAUAUCACUCUGUCAAGAACCUAGAAGAGGUGACUCUCCUCUCCAGCCUGGGACCUCCAUACAGAGGGGAUUGUAGCAUAUUCCUAAUGGAGCACCAAGGUGAUGUGACACUGCUGCCUGGUCCCUGCCCUCAGAGAAGAUUGUGACAUAUCACUGCCCCGAAACCCAGGUGUGAUUGUUACAUACACCUCUGCCCAGCACCUGAGUGAUUUGACUCUUCUGCUUGGGCCCAGCGUACAGAUGGGAUUGUGCCGCAUUGCUGGACCCAGCACUUAGGUGAUGUGAUAUAAUUCUCCUCUUCUGCCUGGCCCUGCCAAAAAGUGGGAGAUUAUGGCAAAUCACUGAACCCAGCACCUAGGGACCUUGUGACAUAUAUCUGCACCCAUGACCUAGAAGAUGUGACAUUUAUUUUUUGCCUGCACCCUGCCCUGCACAGGAAUGAUUGUGACAUAUCCUUGGAACCAGACACCAGAAUUGUAACAUAUCCCUGGCUGAGCACUCAGGUGAUGUGACACUCCUGCUUGGCUUCUUCCCUCAGCAGAUUAUGAGAUAUCCAUGGCUGAAAUCCAGGGGGAAUUGUGACAUAUCACUUGGCCCAGUACCAAGCAAGUGUGACUGUUCUAUUCAUCAUAAGUCCUGCUUUCAAGGGAGAUUGGGACAUAUUGUGGGGCUCAACACCAAUGUGACAUUACUGUUUUGCCUUGGCCCAGACCUUAAAGGCACUGUGACGUAUUGCUCGGCUCAGCAACAAGGUGACGAGAGAUCCUGUGUGGACAUUGACAACAGAGAGCAUUGUGACAUAUCUUUGGGAGCAUCAGCUAUUUGAUGUGACUCUCCUUUUAUACCAAGGCUUUGCUCAUAGGGGAGACCGUGAUGUAUCUUCUGGCCCAGAAAUCAGGCGAUGUGUUUCUCCUGCCUGAGCUUUGCUCACAGGGAGCAUUGUGACAUAUCACUGAGCCCAGCACCCAGGUGAUGGGACUCUACUGCCUGUCCCCUGCUUUCAGGAGGAAAUUGUAACAUAUCUCUGACCAAGCACCCAGGUGAUAAGUCUUCUGCCUGGUGCCUGUUCUCAGGGAAGAUUGUGACAUAUCCCUGGCCCAGCAACCAGAUGAUGCAGAUGACGUAUCUCUCCUGCUCACUCUCUAUCCACAGGUUCUGCCCACAAAGGAGAUUGUGGCAUACUGCUGGGCCUAACACUAAGGUGAUGUUACUUCUCUGCUUUGGCUAUGUCCUUAGAAGGCAUUGAGACACACUGCUGGGCCCAGCACCAAGAUGAUGUGAGUCCUCUGCCUGAACCCUGACCACAGGGAGCAUUGUGACAUAUUUCUUGACCCACUGCAAUCUCUCCUAUGGACAAAGCCCAGGUUGGAUUGUGACAUAUACUUUAGCCCAGCUCACAGUUGUGAUAAUGACACUCAUACUGACAAAUCAGUCAGUAGGAGAGAUACUGGCACUUGUAGCUAAACUUAGAGAAACAGGUUAUGUAACUCUCCUUGCUGGGUCCUGCCUACAGGAAGCUUUAUGAUCUAUCUGUGUAUUCAUCAUCCAGGUGUUAUGACUCUCGUCUUUUCACUGGAACCUGCCAAAAAGGGUGAUUGUGACAUAUCACUGGACCCAGCACCUUGGUGAUGUGACUCUCCUCUCCUCCUUAGGCCCUGCUUACAUUGUGUCUGUUGAAAUACGGCUGGUCCAACACCUAGGUAAUGUGACUCUCCUGCAUAGGCCUUGCUAAUAGGGGAUGUAUGACAUAUGUUUUGUUUAUCACUUAAGUGAUGUUACUCUCCUUUUCUUCCUGAAUCCUGUAAAAGGUGGGGGAUUGUGACCCUAUCACUGGACCCAGCACAUAAGUAAUAUGAGUUUCCUGCAUAGGCUCUGUUCAGAAGGGUAUUAUGACAUAUCUUUUUGUUCAUCACUUUGUGACUUGUCUUUUGACUGGAACCUGCCAAAAAGGGUGAUUGUGACAUAUUGCUGGACCCAGCACCUAGGUGAUGUGGCUCUCCUUUUUUUCUGGGCCUCACAUAUUUUGGGUAUUGUGAUGUAUAGCUGGGCUCAACACCUAGCAGUUGGGGAGCUCCUUUCUUGACCAUUCCCACAAAUGACAUAUCUCUGCUAUGACCGCCUAUGACACAUGACCUAAAUAUGUGACCCUUCUUUUCUGCCUGUACCCUGCUAACAGAGAAGAUUGUGACAAAUUGCUAAGUGCAUUGUAUCUUGUGCUAACCUUCUAUCUCAGCCUGUGACCAAGAAUGCCUAACUGCCGGGGAAUGCAGCCCUGUAGGUCUCAACCUCAAUUUGCCCAGCCACUAUUCAAAAUAGAGUCACUCUGGUUUAAAUGCCUCUGACAUUAAGAUACACUGUAAAAUUAUGAAAAAAGUUGAUUUGAAUUUUAGCAAAUGAGAAAUGAAAUAAUUAGAAUGGGCUAUUCUGAAAGAUAUAGCAUUAGUUAUAUUUGUGUUUGAGUUUUCUAUUAACCUAUAUUUGUUACUUAUGAAUAGAUACCUUGUUUUAUUCUGUCUAAACAGAUACACUAGGUGGGGUGCGGUGGCCAUGCCUGUAAUCCCAGCACUUUGGGAGGCCGAGGGGAGUGGAUCACCUGAGGUCAGGAAUUUGGGACAAGCCUGACCAACAUGGCAAAACCCUGUCUCUACU
rnacentral:lncRNA from 10 species